AUGCACGCUGGCGGCGUGCCUAAUACAUGCAGGUCGAGCGAACAGACGAGGAGCUUGCUCCUCUGACGUUAGCGGCGGGCGGGUGAGUAACACGUGGAUAACCUACCUAUAAGACUGGGAUAACUUCGGGAAACCGGAGCUAAUACCGGAUAAUAUAUUGAACCGCAUGGUUCAAUAGUGAAAGACGGUUUUGCUGUCACUUAUAGAUGGAUCCGCGCCGCAUUAGCUAGUUGGUAAGGUAACGGCUUACCAAGGCGACGAUGCGUAGCCGACCUGAGAGGGUGAUCGGCCACACUGGAACUGAGACACGGUCCAGACUCCUACGGGAGGCAGCAGUAGGGAAUCUUCCGCAAUGGGCGAAAGCCUGACGGAGCAACGCCGCGUGAGUGAUGAAGGUCUUCGGAUCGUAAAACUCUGUUAUUAGGGAAGAACAAAUGUGUAAGUAACUAUGCACGUCUUGACGGUACCUAAUCAGAAAGCCACGGCUAACUACGUG
rnacentral:rRNA from 1 species